CCUGGGGAGUACGGCCGCAAGGUUAAAACUCAAAUGAAUUGACGGGGGCCCGCACAAGCGGUGGAGCAUGUGGUUUAAUUCGAUGCAACGCGAAGAACCUUACCUACUCUUGACAUCCAGAGAACUUUCCAGAGAUGCUUUGGUGCCUUCGGGAACUCUGAGACAGGUGCUGCAUGGCUGUCGUCAGCUCGUGUUGUGAAAUGUUGGGUUAAGUCCCGCAACGAGCGCAACCCUUAUCCUUUGUUGCCAGCGGUUAGGCCGGGAAC
rnacentral:rRNA from 1 species